rnacentral:rRNA from 1 species
GACGAACGCUGGCGGCGUGCUUAACACAUGCAAGUCGAGCGAUGAAGCUUCUUCGGAAGUGGAUUAGCGGCGGACGGGUGAGUAACACGUGGGUAACCUGCCUCAUAGAGGGGAAUAGCCUUCCGAAAGGAAGAUUAAUACCGCAUAAGAUUGUAAUAUCGCAUGAUAUAGCAAUUAAAGGAGUAAUCCGCUAUGAGAUGGACCCGCGUCGCAUUAGCUAGUUGGUGAGGUAACGGCUCACCAAGGCGACGAUGCGUAGCCGACCUGAGAGGGUGAUCGGCCACAUUGGGACUGAGACACGGCCCAGACUCCUACGGGAGGCAGCAGUGGGGAAUAUUGCACAAUGGGGGAAACCCUGAUGCAGCAACGCCGCGUGAGUGAUGACGGUCUUCGGAUUGUAAAGCUCUGUCUUUAGGGACGAUAAUGACGGUACCUAAGGAGGAAGCCACGGCUAACUACGUGCCAGCAGCCGCCGUAAUAC